UACGUAGGGGGCAAGCGUUACUCGGAUUUACUGGGCGUAAAGCGCGUGUAGGCGGCUGGUCAAGCGUGAUGUGAAAUCUCCGGGCUCAACCCGGAAACUGCAUCGCGAACUGGCCUGGCUAGAGUGCAGGAGAGGGCGGCGGAAUUCCCGGUGUAGCGGUGAAAUGCGCAGAUAUCGGGAAGAACACCCGUGGCGAAGGCGGCCAGCUGGGAUACACCUGACGCUGAGGCACGAAGGCGUGGGGAGCGAACGGG
rnacentral:rRNA from 1 species